rnacentral:rRNA from 1 species
AACGAACGCUGGCGGCAUGCCUAACACAUGCAAGUCGAACGAAGGCUUCGGCCUUAGUGGCGCACGGGUGCGUAACGAGUGGGAAUCUUCCCCUCGGUUCGGAAUAACAGUUAGAAAUGACUGCUAAUACCGGAUGAUGACUUCGGUCCAAAGAUUUAUCGCCGAGGGAUGAGCCCGCGUAAGAUUAGGUAGUUGGUGGGGUAAAGGCCUACCAAGCCGACGAUCUUUAGCUGGUCUGAGAGGAUGAUCAGCCACACUGGGACUGAGACACGGCCCAGACUCCUACGGGAGGCAGCAGUGGGGAAUAUUGGACAAUGGGCGAAAGCCUGAUCCAGCAAUGCCGCGUGAGUGAUGAAGGCCUUAGGGUUGUAAAGCUCUUUUACCAGGGAUGAUAAUGACAGUACCUAGAGAAUAAGCUCCGGCUAACUCCGUGCCAGCCGCCGCCGUAA